UACGUAGGGUGCGAGCGUUGUCCGGAAUUAUUGGGCGUAAAGAGCUCGUAGGCGGUGUGUCACGUCGUUCGUGAAAACCUGCAGCUUAACUGUGGGCGUGCGGUCGAUACGGGCAUCACUGGAGUUCGGCAGGGGAGACUGGAAGUUCCUGGUGUAGCGGUGAAAUGCGCAGAUAUCGGGAGGAACACCGGUGGCGAAGGCGGUGGUCUGGGCCGGCACUG
rnacentral:rRNA from 1 species